rnacentral:rRNA from 1 species
UACGUAGGGUGCAAGCGUUGUCCGGAAUUAUUGGGCGUAAAGAGCUCGUAGGCGGUUUGUCGCGUCUGCUGUGAAAACUGGAGGCUCAACCUCCAGCCUGCAGUGGGUACGGGCAGACUAGAGUGCGGUAGGGGAGAUUGGAAUUCCUGGUGUAGCGGUGGAAUGCGCAGAUAUCAGGGAGGAACACCGAUGGCGGAAGGCCAGAUCUCUGGGCCGUAACUGACGCUGAGGAGCGAAAGCAUGGGGAGCGAACAGG